rnacentral:rRNA from 3 species
AACUUUUAACAAUGGAUCUCUUGGUUCUGGCAUCGAUGAAGAACGCAGCGAAAUGCGAUAAGUAGUGUGAAUUGCAGAAUUCAGUGAAUCAUCGAAUCUUUGAACGCACAUUGCGCCCCUCGGUAUUCCGUGGGGCAUGCCUGUUCGAGCGUCAUUU